GAUGAAGAACGCAGCAAAAUGCGAUAAGUAAUGUGAAUUGCAGAGUUCGGUGAAUCAUCGAAUCUUUGAACGCACAUUGCGCCCGCCAGUAUUCUGGCGGGCAUGCCUGUUCGAGCGUCAUUUCAACCCUCAAGCUCAGCUUGGUGUUGGGACUCGCGGUAACCCGCGUUCCCCAAAUCGAUUGGCGGUCACGUCGAGCUUCCAUAGCGUAGUAAUCAUACACCUCGUUACUGGUAAUCGUCGCGGCCACGCCGUAAAACCCCAACUUCUGAAUGUUGACCUCGGAUCAGGUAGGAAUACCCGCUGAACUUAAGCAUAUCAAUAAGCGGAGGA
rnacentral:misc_RNA from 1 species